UAUUAAAAUCUUUAUCCAUUCCUAUUGUUAAAAAUUGGCGUAAUUGACGAAUUAACUAGACAAUUUCACAUGACAUGCUAUGUAUACCUCAAGUAUAUACUGAUGUACAAAUAUCGAUUUUUUAACUGUUGAAAUGGACGAAAUUUUUAACA
rnacentral:pre_miRNA from 1 species